CACACUUCCUCCAACAGACACACGUAGUCCUUCAAAGCCACACCUCCACAGAGACCCUUCCUUCUCUGGAGGUAGUUUAAGAUGGUAAUCUGAUAUCACUUCAGGACUUAAACAGAACAGGGUUGGAUGGGUUGUUCGUGGAGGCAGAGAUUCCUUGUUUUGAAUCUAAGCGGGGCUUUUUGUGAUGACUUUGGUGCUUUCUGCAGAACUUUUUUUUUUGUUGUUGUUGUUUAACCAGAACAGUUCCAUAGGCAUUACUUAUGGUCAAAUCAAUGGUUUUUCCAGCAAGGGCUCAUUAAUCAGUUGCUAAGCCGCCACAAAUUACAAGGAAGAAGGAAAACAUCUCCGCAGAGAGGGAAAAGUGAUUAUUUCAGACAAAACUGUGAAGAACAUUAGUCUAGGAGAAAUGCUAUUUUGGUACAAAGACCAGAAAAGUAAUGAUCAGCAGAGGACUGGAUCCGGGAGACUAAAGGUACCGGGAAAGCUAACAGCCAAACAGUGAACCACUGUGUGAUUCAUCCAGCCCAUAUGGAGACUUUGCCAAGGACCUCUUUUCCUCAGAUGAGCAGACCCUUCGAGAGACAAGCAUAUUCUGGUAUCUCUGAUUCAGAAUCUAUGUUUCUGGAUGCAGCUAGAGGCACAGUGCUAAACUUCUUGGCACCUUGGUAUUCUAAGAUGAUGUCACUCUUCUGUGGAUGGAUGGAUUAACUAUCAUGAUACCUACUCAGAGUUUAAGAGCAUCCCGUAAAAGUGAAUCCUGCCAUGAGCAACACGCCAUCCAUCAGCCCCUCCCAACCCACCCUAAUGGAGUCUUCCUUUUCACCUCCUCCUGGAUCUCCAGGGCAGCUUUUCACUCGCCCUUCAUCAGUGAACUUCAUGGAACGGCUCUCAGAAUAUUCUACCAACCCCGUAUUUUCUGGAACAUUGUAGUGAGCUUCAUGCAGAUUGUUGAUCUCUGUGCUCCAAAGAGCUCAGCAAAUUCCCCAGGCUCAGCCCAUGUGCUCUCGACUUUUCUAAUGUCCACCUUGAGACUUAUCUAUCCCUAAAAAUAAUUUAAAAGCACAGGAAAGGAUAAGGUGGAGAAGAAAACCCAAGAAGAGCAAAUUUACUCCUUCUGUGUUUACUGAGUAAAAAUCUAAACAGCCCUAGGGCUCCACCAAACAAGGGUGAGACUGACACAAUGAUUUAAAUGACAUGGUCAAACAAAUAAAUAAAAAGGCGUAAAGGGGAGGUUUGAUAUC
rnacentral:lncRNA from 1 species